rnacentral:lncRNA from 1 species
UUUGCUCUCUUCGGUCCCUUGGCUUUGAGGCUGUCUCGACAGACAUGAGGAGAAGGCUCAGUAGGUGGGAGACAGGCCAUCUGGGCCGGGACCAAAGAGCUGCACAUUCUCAGGGCAAGUCCCUUCUUCAAGGCCUGAGGUCCCCUGUUGACGUCACACCCAUGGAGGGAGAAGAAACACCAAGAAGGGGUGAGGCGGUGACGUCGCCCUGUGUUCUCGCAGGGCUGAGGAGGUCUGUGCUCUACAUUCUUCCGCGUUGGCUCAAGCCGGAGCCCCUGUGAUGCAAACCAGGACGAGGUCCGAGGGCCCUCCCUCAAGGCGCACACCGUGUGAGAAAGGGACCCACAGCUCAGGAACCAAAACAGACACACCCAGCCCAGGACCUCCCCACCAGCCAGUGACCAACAGCAGCCAGUCAACAGCUCUCCUCGAGAGGUUCCUGUGUACAUGACACCAUGCGGGAUCCAAUUUCCUGCAGACCAUGGCUUGGGGUUUACAAGGAGAAGGAGAAGGAGGAGGAGGAGGAGGAGGAGGAGGAGAAGGAGAAAACUACCCCUGCCCCCCGCCUCGCCCCCCGACCUCCCAAAGACCACCAACCACCACGGCUCACACUCUGGAAAUUUUUCUGCCGAUGCAUUGUCGGUUUUUAUUUGGUUUUCACAUUACUGUAAUCAUAACCAUGUUUACAAUCCUGCAUCCCGCUGCACUUCACAUCCCGGUGUGUGUAUUUUUCUGCACGUUAAAUUUAUCCUGGUUGCUGCGAAGGUUUGUAUUUAUAUAUAUGUUUACAUGCAAAGGCUCCCUUCACUGGUUUUCUCUUGGGAGAAAGAGGCUUCCGCUCACUGCCUUGCUCUAAGGUCUAAACUCCCAGAAGCUUUGAGGCACCUGCUGGGCAGAGGGAAGAUUUCGGGCGAUGGCAGUUCUCACCCGGAGGGGCUGGGGCCGGCAGGUCAGUUACUCCGGGCCGGGGACAGUUGUCAAGAUGAAGAGGACAGGAAGGCAAAUCUGGGCCAAGGCAUGUAA